UCCGAAUUGGUGUAGUGGCUAACAUUUGACAUUCUCAAGCGAUAGUGACCGUCAAGCGCAGGGUUCGAUUCCCUGAUUCGGAA
rnacentral:tRNA from 1 species